GACGAACGCUGGCGGCGUGCUUAACACAUGCAAGUCGAACGGAAAGGCCCUGCUUUUGUGGGGUGCUCGAGUGGCGAACGGGUGAGUAACACGUGAGUAACCUGCCCUUGACUUUGGGAUAACUUCAGGAAACUGGGGCUAAUACUGGAUAGGAGCUCCUGCUGCAUGGUGGGGGUUGGAACGUUUCGGCGGUUGGGGAUGGACUCGCGGCCUAUCAGCUUGUUGGUGGGGUAGUGGCUUACCAAGGCUUUGACGGGUAGCCGGCCUGAGAGGGUGACCGGCCACAUUGGGACUGAGAUACGGCCCAGACUCCUACGGGAGGCAGCAGUGGGGAAUAUUGCACAAUGGGGGGAAGCCGGAUGCAGCAACGCCGCGUGCGGGAUGACGGCCUUCGGGUGGUAAACCGCUUUCGCCUGUAACGAAGCGUGAGUGACGGUAAUGUGUAAAGAAGCACCGGCUAACUACGUG
rnacentral:rRNA from 1 species